GAUGAACGCUAGCGGCAGGCCUAACACAUGCAAGUCGAGGGGCAGCACGUUAAGUUAGCAAUAACUUAUGGUGGCGACCGGCGGACGGGUGCGUAACGCGUAUGUAACCUACCUUUAAUUGGGGGAUAAUUCGGAGAAAUCUGGUCUAAUACCCCAUAACAUCCCGGGAGGCAUCUCCUGGGGUUAGAAAUUCAGGUGAUUAGAGAUGGACAUACGUAACAUUAGUUAGUUGGUGAGGUAACGGCUCACCAAGACUACGAUGUUUAGGGGGGCGGAGAGGUUGACCCCCCGCAACUGAACUGAGACGCAGUCCAGACUCCGACGCGAGGCAUCCGAGUGGAAUAUUGUUCGAUGAGGGCAGCCCUGAACCAGCCGUGCCGAGUGCAGGAAGACGGGUCUAUGAAUUGUACACUGCUUGUGUACGAGGGUAAAGUGGGGUACGUGUACCCUUUUGAAAGUAUCGUACGAAUAAGGAUCGGCUAACUCCGUGCCAGACGCCGCGGUAA
rnacentral:rRNA from 1 species